rnacentral:rRNA from 1 species
UCCUACGGGAGGCAGCAGUGGGGAAUCUUGGACAAUGGGGGCAACCCUGAUCCAGCCAUGCCGCGUGAGUGAUGAAGGCCCUAGGGUCGAAAAGCUCUUUCGCCAGAGAUGAUAAUGACAGUAUCUGGUAAAGAAACCCCGGUUAACUCCGUGCCAGCAGCCGCGGUAAUACGGAGGGGGUUAGCGUUGUUCGAAUUUACUGGGCGUAAAGCGCACGUGGGCGGAUUGGAAAUUUAAAGGUGAAAUCCCGGGGCUCAACCCGGGAAAUGGCCUUUAAAACUCCCCGUCUUUGAUUUUAAAAAGAGGUGAGGGGAAUUCCCCAGUGUGCAGGGGGAAUUUCCUAAAUUAUUUCG